rnacentral:miRNA from 1 species
UCCGGUAUGUCUAAAUCUAGA